rnacentral:rRNA from 1 species
GACGAACGCUGGCGGCGUGCUUAACACAUGCAAGUCGAACGGUAAGGCCCUUUGGGGUACACGAGUGGCGAACGGGUGAGUAACACGUGGGUGAUCUGCCCUGCACUUCGGGAUAAGCCUGGGAAACUGGGUCUAAUACCGGAUAGGACCACUGCCUGCAUGGGUGGUGGAAAGCUUUUGCGGUGUGGGAUGGGCCCGCGGCCUAUCAGCUUGUUGGUGGGGUGAUGGCCUACCAAGGCGACGACGGGUAGCCGGCCUGAGAGGGUGACCGGCUAGCCUGGGACUGAGAUACGGCCCAGACUCCUACGGGAGGCAGCAGUGGGGAAUAUUGCACAAUGGGCGCAAGCCUGAUGCAGCGACGCCGCGUGAGGGAUGACGGCCUUCGGGUUGUAAACCUCUUUCAGCACCGACGAAGCGCAAGUGACGGUAGGUGCAGAAGAAGGACCGGCCAACUACGUGCCAGCAGCCGCGGUAA